rnacentral:tRNA from 1 species
UUCGGGGAUUUAGCUCAGUGGUAGAGCGCUUGCCUAGAAAGCACAAGGUCCUGGGUUCGAUCCCCAGCUCCGAAA